AAAAAAAAAAAAAUGUACAUCAGUAACAGAAAAUUCAGUAGCAGGAAAACACGUAGUGCCCUGGUACUUGACAUGCAAGUAACUGCCAUUGAUUUUUGUAGUCAAUUGGGCUUCAGAGGGUCACACUGAUGCAUGAUUAGAUGAGAAAUUAAUGAUACAGGUUUUGAUGAAUUCUUACUGAAAUUAAUGUCUUAAAACAUUAAAAUAUUUUGAUUUAAUCAAUCUGAAACUUAAGUUAUAUCAAUUUAGUCCUAUCCAAACUCAUUAAGAAUGUAUGUGAGAUAGUUUUAUAAAUACUUGGUAUUUUUUGUGAAACUUUCACUUUUCGGAGUUGUAAAUAGCUUAUCUGGACUCUAGAAGUCAUAUUGCUCAGUGUUCUUGUAAAUAAUGAAAAAGUUAUUUAGGAUUACUUAUCAGUUAGAAUGCUUUGUGACUCAAGUGACUGAAAAAUAAGAAAGUUUAUUGUUUUCCAGGGAUGGCAUCAAGGUGGGUUGGUUGAGCAGCUUAGCCUUGGCAUUAAGGAUCCAAGAUCUUUUGCAAUAACAGCUUUGCACAAAGCCUGGUUUCAUUUAUGAUUGUGAGAUGGCUGCUGACAGAGGAGAGCAGAGAGAAAGAAAUGGUGCUGGAUGAUCAUCAAUGUCCAACACAGAAAGUGAUGUAAGUAAAUGAAACCUUAUUACUCUGUUUUAUCAAUAAUUUUUGUGUGUAGCAUGUUCUAGUAAAGUUGAACUCCAUUG